CGCAUCCGAACGUACCCAUCGUUGAACUUAUUUUGUCUGUGGUCUGUGCCUUUAAAAAAAACUAAAUGUCAACAAAAUAUUCAUCGUUACCUACAAAAUUCUAAUAUCUGCUGCUUUUAUUGCUACAAAUUAAUAAAACAACACUUAAUUCAACUGCAAAAUCAUGGAAAACUAACAUAAGUGUGAUAAACGUUCGAUAAUCUAAAGGAAUGACUAAAAUUUAUUCAGAAAUGCUAAUUGGAAUGCAAAUAAUUCUACUACUAACAGCAGAUUAUUAGAAACUGUCUACCUCUUAAGAAAUAUACACCACUAAAGCAACUAGGCACCUAGCAACAGCUACAACUAGACCACAGACUACAAAAGAAAACCAAAACAUGAACAUCAGAGGAACUCAGGUACUGAUAAUGUGCUGAAAAGCACAACUCCCAACGGAAACCUUCCAUUUGCAUGGAGAACAACACAAUCCACUUCGCCGGCAACCAACAACAAUGCAGCUGCCGGACACUCAAAAAUUCAAGCCGUUCCUGCACUUCCAACCAUUACCGGUGUCGUCCCCGACUGAAUUCACCUGUAUAAGUUCAACGGGCACAAAAGUGAAAUUGCCACUGAAGACGCCAUUGUAUAAGUUCAAAACUCAAAAUAUUAAGUAUGUUGGCAACUGACUUACAAUAAAUAUAUAUUCUUACAAUGAUA